rnacentral:rRNA from 1 species
UACGGAGGGUGCGAGCGUUGUCCGGAAUCAUUGGGCGUAAAGGGCGCGUAGGUGGCCUGCUAAGCGUGCGGUGAAAGCUCGGGGCUCAACUCCGAGUCGGCCGUCGAUACUCCCGCGCUCGAGCACUGUAGAGGCAGGUGGAAUUCCGGGUGUAGCGGUGGAAUGCGUAGAGAUCCGGAAGAACACCGGUGGCGAAGGCGGCCUGCUGGGCAGUAGCUGACGCUGAGGCGCGACAGCGUGGGGAGCAAACAGG